GAUGAAGAACGUAGCGUAAUGCGAUACUUGGUGUGAAUUGCAGAAUCCCGUGAACCAUCGAGUCUUUGAACGCAAGUUGCGCCCGAAGCCAUCAGGUUGAGGGCACGUCUGCCUGGGCGUCACAUAUCGUUGCCCAAUGCCUAUUGCAGUGCAAUAGGAAUUUCUAGGGCGAAUGAUGGCUUCCCGUGAGCGUUGUUGCCUCGCGGUUGGUUGAAAAUCGAGUCCUUGGUAGGGUGUGCCAUGGUAGAUGGUGGUCGAGUUAGAACGAUACCGAUCAUGUGCAUGCUCCCCAAAAUAUGGCCUCUAUGACCCACACGCGUCUUUUGACGCUCAUGACGAGACCUCAGGUCAGGCGGGGCUACCCGCUGAAUUUAAGCAUAUCAAUAAGCGGAGGA
rnacentral:misc_RNA from 1 species